UACGUAGGGUGCAAGCGUUAAUCGGAAUUACUGGGCGUAAAGGGUGCGCAGGCGGUUAUAUAAGACAGAUGUGAAAUCCCCGGGCUCAACCUGGGAACUGCGUUUGUGACUGCAUGACUAGAGUACGGUAGAGAGGGGUGGAAUUCCUGGUGUAGCAGUGAAAUGCGUAGAGAUGUGGAGGAACACCGAUGGCGAAGGCAGCCCCCUGGGUUAACACUGACGCUCAGGCACGAAAGCGUGGGGAGCAAACAGG
rnacentral:rRNA from 1 species